rnacentral:rRNA from 1 species
AAUAUUGCACAAUGGGGGAAACCCUGAUGCAGCGACGCCGCGUGAGUGAAGAAGUAUUUCGGUAUGUAAAGCUCUAUCAGCAGGGAAGAAAAUGACGGUACCUGACUAAGAAGCCCCGGCUAACUACGUGCCAGCAGCCGCGGUAAUACGUAGGGGGCAAGCGUUAUCCGGAUUUACUGGGUGUAAAGGGAGCGUAGGUGGCGAGUCAAGUCGGAUGUGAAAGCUCGGGUGUCAACCCCGGGAUUGCAUUUGAAACUGGUUUGCUAGAGUUCAGGAGAGUUAAGUGGAAUUACUAGUGUGGCGGUGAAAUGCGUAGUUAUUAGGAGGAACACCAGUGGCAAAGGCGGCUUACUGGACUGUAACUGACACUGAGGAUCGAAUGCGUGGGGAGCAAACA